GAGCCGACCUUGAAAUACCACCCUUUAAUGUUUGAUGUUCUAACGUGGACCCGUAAUCCGGGUUGCGGACAGUGUCUGGUGGGUAGUUUGACUGGGGCGGUCUCCUCCUAAAGAGUAACGGAGGAGCACGAAGGUUGGCUAAUCCUGGUCGGACAUCAGGAGGUUAGUGCAAUGGCAUAAGCCAGCUUGACUGCGAGCGUGACGGCGCGAGCAGGUGCGAAAGCAGGUCAUAGUGAUCCGGUGGUUCUGAAUGGAAGGGCCAUCGCUCAACGGAUAAAAGGUACUCCGGGGAUAACAGGCUGAUACCGCCCAAGAGUUCAUAUCGACGGCGGUGUUUGGCACCUCGAUGUCGGCUCAUCACAUCCUGGGGCUGAAGUAGGUCCCAAGGGUAUGGCUGUUCGCCAUUUAAAGUGGUACGCGAGCUGGGUUUAGAACGUCGUGAGACAGUUCGGUCCCUAUCUGCCGUGGGCGCUGGAGAACUGAGGGGGGCUGCUCCUAGUACGAGAGGACCGGAGUGGACGCAUCACUGGUGUUCGGGUUGUCAUGCCAAUGGCACUGCCCGGUAGCUAAAUGCGGAAGAGAUAAGUGCUGAAAGCAUCUAAGCACGAAACUUGCCCCGAGAUGAGUUCUCCCUGAGACUUAGAGUCUCCUGAAGGAACGUUGAAGACGACGACGUUGAUAGGCCGGGUGUGUAAGCGCAGCGAUGCGUUGAGCUAACCGGUACUAAUGAACCGUGAGGCUUAACCUUACA
rnacentral:rRNA from 1 species